GACGAACGCUGGCGGCGUGCUUAACACAUGCAAGUCGAGCGAACAGAUGAGGAGCUUGCUCCUCUGACGUUAGCGGCGGACGGGUGAGUAACACGUGGAUAACCUACCUAUAAGACUGGGAUAACUUCGGGAAACCGGAGCUAAUACCGGAUAAUAUAUUGAACCGCAUGGUUCAAUAGUGAAAGACGGUUUUGCUGUCACUUAUAGAUGGAUCCGCGCCGCAUUAGCUAGUUGGUAAGGUAACGGCUUACCAAGGCAACGAUGCGUAGCCGACCUGAGAGGGUGAUCGGCCACACUGGAACUGAGACACGGUCCAGACUCCUACGGGAGGCAGCAGUAGGGAAUCUUCCGCAAUGGGCGAAAGCCUGACGGAGCAACGCCGCGUGAGUGAUGAAGGUCUUCGGAUCGUAAAACUCUGUUAUUAGGGAAGAACAAAUGUGUAAGUAACUAUGCACGUCUUGACGGUACCUAAUCAGAAAGCCACGGCUAACUACGUG
rnacentral:rRNA from 1 species